UGCUUUUAUUCAGGAGUUUCGGAAUUGGGAUACGGCAUGGGCUUUGCCAGCAUUGUAUGUCAUUGCUUAUGAGAUUAGGGUUCUAGCUGAGAGGGCUGAUAAGGAAUUAGCUUUGAAUGGAAAGUCUCCAGAGAAGUUGAAGGGAGCUGGCUCUUUCCUUAUGAAAGUCUUUGGCGUUCUUGCUGUAAGAUUCUCUCUUUGAUAUUCUAUUUAUUUCGCUACUCUUACUAAACUUCGGUUUGUAUUUUGUUCUCUUUGCAAGAAAAGUCUGUUCCUUUACUCAAACUUGUAUACAAUAAGAGUUGGUAUUUUCUUGGGUGUUUACGAACAAUUGUCUGAAUCUGUACUGCUAACUCUUUCACUAGUGUAUCCAUUGUAGGGAAAACGCCCGAAACGUGUUGGAGCAUUAUACGUCACUUGCCAGUUGUUUAAAGUUUACUUUUAAGCUUGGUACAGUUCACCUUUGCCGCAGCGUCAUAGGGAGCGUUGAAACUGCGCGAAUAUUUGAUUUUGAGGAAUUCCCUAAGAGAGAUAAGGUCAGAAUUGCCUUUGGUAGAGCAAAUGCAAUUUUCUUCCUUCCUUUUCUGCUCCCUCUCCUUUUGAAUUUAUUCUCUAUCGCAACUAGACAACGUAGCUUCAACCACGGACCCAAUCAUGAAUCCCUAAAUAUCAUUGUGUACAAAGAUAUUUUGCUUCCCUCGAAUACUACAUAAGAUUAUAUUCUUUCUUUUAA